rnacentral:pre_miRNA from 1 species
UAUGUACUCCCUCCGUCCCAAAAUUCUUGUCUUAGAUUCGUCUAGAUACGAAUGUAUCUAAUACUAAAACAUGACUUGAUACAUUCGUAUUUAGACAAAUCUAAGACAAGAAUUUUGAGACAGAGGGAGUAGUAU